rnacentral:rRNA from 1 species
GACGAACCGAGCGAACGUUGUUCGGAAUAACUGGGCUUAAAGGGCGCGUAGGCGGGCCGCCAAGUCCGAGGUGAAAUCCUCCGGCUCAACCGGAGAACUGCCUCGGAUACUGGAGGCCUGGAGGGGGGUAGGGGCACGCGGAACUGUGGGUGGAGCGGUGAAAUGCGUUGAUAUCCACAGGAACUCCGGUGGCGAAGGCGGCGUGCUGGACCCCACCUGACGCUGAGGCGCGAAAGCCAGGGGAGCAAACGGG